rnacentral:rRNA from 1 species
UGCAAGUCGAACGAAGCACCUUACCACGAUUCCUUCGGGAUGACGGUUUAGUGACUGAGUGGCGGACGGGUGAGUAACGCGUGGGGAACCUGCCCCAUACCGGGGGAUAACAGCCGGAAACGGCUGCUAAUACCGCAUAAGCGCACAGUACCGCAUGGUACGGUGUGAAAAACUCCGGUGGUAUGGGAUGGACCCGCGUCUGAUUAGCCAGUUGGCGGGGUAACGGCCCACCAAAGCGACGAUCAGUAGCCGGCCUGAGAGGGCGACCGGCCACAUUGGGACUGAGACACGGCCCAGACUCCUACGGGAGGCAGCAGUGGGGAAUAUUGCACAAUGGGGGAAACCCUGAUGCAGCGACGCCGCGUGAGUGAGGAAGUAUUUCGGUAUGUAAAGCUCUAUCAGCAGGGAAGAAGAAAUGACGGUACCUGACUAAGAAGCCCCGGCUAACUACGUGCCAGCAGCCGCGGUAAUACGUAGGGGGCAAGCGUUAUCCGGAUUUACUGGGUGUAAAGGGAGCGCAGGCGGCAUGAUAAGUCUGAUGUGAAAACCCAAGGCUCAACCAUGGGACUGCAUUGGAAACUGUCGUGCUGGAGUGUCGGAGAGGUAAGCGGAAUUCCUAGUGUAGCGGUGAAAUGCGUAGAUAUUAGGAGGAACACCAGCGGCGA